UGACCCUGUAUAGGAGGUCCCGCCUGCCCCGUGACUUAGAGUUUAACGGCCGCGGUAUUUUAACCGUGCGAAGGUAGCGCAAUCAAUUGUCUCUUAAAUAGAGACCUGUAUGAAUGGCAUUACGAGGGUUUGACUGUCUCUUUUUUCCAGUCAAUGAAAUUGAUCUGCCCGUGCAGAAGCGGGCAUAACACCACAAGACGAGAAGACCCUAUGGAGCUUUAAACGCCAACCAAUCACGAAAAGCAACCGGUAGAACCGGGCUCUUAUCCAGCGUGGCCAUGGCACAAGCGUUUUCGGUUGGGGCGACCAUGGGGGAUAACAAAGCCCCCGAUGAGGAGUGGGACAACAGUCCUAAAACCAAGAGCUACAGCUCUAAGUCUCAGAAUAUUUGACCGACAAGUGAUCCGGCUCCCUGCCGAUCAACGGACCAAGUUACCCUAGGGAUAACAGCGCAAUCCUCUCCCAGAGUUCAUAUCGACGAGGGGGUUUACGACCUCGAUGUUGGAUCAGGACAUCCUAAUGGCGCAGCCGCUAUUAAGGG
rnacentral:rRNA from 1 species